AGUGACUCUUCUCAACUUCCGGUGAUCAGAAACGCUUGGUAAUUGUUCUCACUAAAAGCCAGAAUCUCGCAAUAUGCGACUUUGCCGCACACGGGCCAGAUUAAAAGCAGGAGGUGGCUUUCUUCUCCACAACACACCUAGUGCCAAAACAAAAAAGCAGGGCAAAGGCCAUGCACACCAUUGCACAUCAUUCCCUGGGCCUACAACCUGGAUUGAGAGAGUCAAGAGAGGCGAUGCGAGGCCGCGAUGGAGAGCAGGGGCUCCAGUACCAGGCCACCUCGGUUCCGAUCUCUGUCCCAUCACUUGCUAGCUCUGCGAGCUUUGGAAAGUGACCUAACUGCUGGGGGCCUCGUCGUUCCCAUCUGUAAAGCAGGGGUCUGUUCCAAGUGACGCUGAAGGCCGGAGGGAGAGUCCCAAGCCCGCUUGGAGGGUCCCAGAAGGAGGUCGGAGUGGAGCAGCAGAGGCCACAAGGACAACCCGGUGAGCCCUGCAGGAGAGCAGAUGUCCUAGGCAAAGUCAAGGGUACGUGCAAAGGCUCAAAGGCCGGGAGGAUGGUAGACUUGGGAAAGACCAAGGGUAGGUGCAGAGGGGUGGAAGAAAUGGCCCUCCCACACACAGAGUGUAUUUCACACCUUUGCCAAGAUAUCCUGUCUCGUGAGGCUUUCCUUGAUCACGCUAUUUAAACACCCCCCUUCACCAGGAGCGCCUGGAUGGCUCAGUUGAUUCAGCAUCCAACUCUUGGUUUCGG